GGUGGCAUGGCCGAGUCGUCUAUGGCGCUGGUUUUAGGCACCAGCCUCUUCAGAGGCGUGGGUUCGAAUUCCACCGCUGCCA
rnacentral:tRNA from 1 species